UACGUAGGAGGCGAGCGUUGUCCGGAGUUACUGGGCGUAAAGGGUGCGCAGGCGGCGGUUCGCGUGGCGAGAUGAAAUCUCCUGGCUUACCCUGGGAGGGUGGUCGCCAGACGGGAUCGCUUGAGGGUCGGAGAGGGGCGUGGAAUUCCGGGUGGAGCGGUGAAAUGCGUAGAGAUCCGGAGGAACACCGACGGCGUAGGCAGCGCCCCUGGACGACACCUGACGCCUGAGGCACGAAGCUGGGGGGAGCGAAACAGG
rnacentral:rRNA from 1 species